AUAUAUGCAACAGUGAAAUCAGCCGUGCUCUCCCUGAUUUUACAUGUCCCACCUGUCACAAUGGAUUCAUCGAAAUGCUGGAACCUGCCGACGAGGAGCCUGAUGAGAUCCAGGAUGCAUUGCAAGAUUUCUUAGAAUUUCAAGAGGAACUUGCUGCACGUCGCAUGAGGCGCAUGUUCCGUCGCAAUCGAGGGAACUCUUCCUCACUAAGGUUACCUCAUUCAACUUGGAGAGACUCAAAUAUGUCUGGCUCAAACAUGGCUCCAUUGUCUCGAGGGAGAACAUCAUCCUCAACCAGUGGAGGCUCUGGUGGGCUUCGUCCUAGAAGGAGUCGUAGACAAGCUUUAAAUGAACCAAGGACAGAGCCCAUCGAAGCUCUAGUGCAAGAGCUACUAUUUGAAUUUAGUGGGGGUGCUGUUGACGCACGUGGAGGCAACGCACCUGUGUUUUUUUCUGAGUAA
rnacentral:lncRNA from 1 species